UUACAUCAAAAGGAGAUGUUUCAAGAAGCUCUGCUGGGUGAUACAGAACGGGAAUGGCUCUCAGCGUGAAGAACUCCCGAAUCUCUUCCCACACACCUCUUCACACAGCUGCAGUAAACUACAGAACGUGGAAUUGUUCAGACGUGGUUUGCAACUCACCACAGAAUGACCCAGGAACUAUAAGACAGAGAGAGAGGAGUGGGUGACACACCUGACAGCAACCUGAUCUGUGUUGGAGAGAGUCAUGCCAAUGCCUCUGAGGGAUGCUGGUUAUGUUGACUGAGACGCUACAGCAUUUGUCCGUGUUAAAACCAGAGAGUGCGCCUUCUAAUCUCACAGAUGCAGCUCCAGAUCUGCUUAUCAUAAAUUACACCCGGAGGAAAAGAAAUGAGGUCAGUUUGAGGUCACUGAUGGAAAUAUGGAGCUCUAGUUCAAGACAAUGUUGGAAAAAAACUGAAUAAUGGUGCAUUUACAUGUGCAUCUCAAUUUAGUUUUCAGAUGUCAUUUAAGAUAUCAACUUAGAAUGAAAGUGGGUUUUUUUCACAGCUCAUGCAUGUGGAUUUAAUGAUUGUGGAGAAAUGUACACUUACACACUCUUACAUUAACAAGAAUACAAAAUAUUAUAAAAGACUUCUUUAUUUCUAAUCAUCAUGAAGCACUUUCAACAAAAUUAUCUGUCUCCCAUUCCAUGUGUGGUACAGGACUAUGAUCUGAAGGCAGUAGCUGGG